rnacentral:rRNA from 1 species
CGGUAGCACAAGAGAGCUUGCUCUCUGGGUGACGAGCGGCGGACGGGUGAGUAAUGUCUGGGAAACUGCCUGAUGGAGGGGGAUAACUACUGGAAACGGUAGCUAAUACCGCAUAACGUCGCAAGACCAAAGAGGGGGACCUUCGGGCCUCUUGCCAUCAGAUGUGCCCAGAUGGGAUUAGCUAGUAGGUGGGGUAAUGGCUCACCUAGGCGACGAUCCCUAGCUGGUCUGAGAGGAUGACCAGCCACACUGGAACUGAGACACGGUCCAGACUCCUACGGGAGGCAGCAGUGGGGAAUAUUGCACAAUGGGCGCAAGCCUGAUGCAGCCAUGCCGCGUGUGUGAAGAAGGCCUUCGGGUUGUAAAGCACUUUCAGCGAGGAGGAAGGUGGUGAGCUUAAUACGUUCAUCAAUUGACGUUACUCGCAGAAGAAGCACCGGCUAACUC